UACGUAGGGCGCAAGCGUUGUCCGGAAUUAUUGGGCGUAAAGAGCUCGUAGGCGGUUUGUCGCGUCUGCUGUGAAAACCUAAGGCUCAACCUUGGGCUUGCAGUGGGUACGGGCAGACUAGAGUGCGGUAGGGGUGACUGGAAUUCCUGGUGUAGCGGUGGAAUGCGCAGAUAUCAGGAGGAACACCGAUGGCGAAGGCAGGUCACUGGGACGGUACUGACGCUGAGACGCGAAAGCGUGGGGAGCAAACAGG
rnacentral:rRNA from 1 species